rnacentral:rRNA from 1 species
AGAGUUUGAUCCUGGCUCAGGACGAACGCUGGCGGCGCGCUUAACACAUGCAAGUCGAGCGAGAACCAGGGCUUCGGCCCUGGGGACAGCGGCGAACGGGUGAGUAACACGUGGAUAACCUGCCCUCGGCACCGGGAUAGCCCGGGGAAACUCGGAUUAAUACCGGAUAGCCCACCUGGCUUUCGGGCCGGCUGGAAAAGGUAGCUUCGGCCUCUGGCCGAGGAUGGGUCCGCGGCGGAUUAGCUUGUUGGUGGGGUAACGGCCUACCAAGGCUCCGAUCCGUAGCUGGUCUGAGAGGACGAUCAGCCACACUGGGACUGAGACACGGCCCAGACUCCUACGGGAGGCAGCAGUGGGGAAUCUUGCCCAAUGGGCGAAAGCCUGAGGCAGCGACGCCGCGUGAGGGAGGAAGGCCUUCGGGUUGUAAACCUCUUUCAGGAGGGACGAAGCUACUCGGGUUAAUAGCCCAGAGGGUGACGGUACCUCCAGAAGAAGCCCCGGCUAACUACGUGCCAGCAGCCGCGGUAAUUC